rnacentral:ncRNA from 2 species
UUGAUGGUCGCGGGAGAGACCGGCUUCGCGCCGGCACCGAAGGGGAAAGGCGUGCCAGCCGUGCUGCGCGCCGAAGCUCUCAGGUCAAAGGACCGCGAUCGAGAG